UCGAAAUGAGGUGUGGUCUGCGACGUUGAAAGAAGGACGUUAAGAAGAUCACCGGAAAUCGGAAAGUAUUUAUAGGCCCGGUUUGAGUUCGGAUUUAUUUUCCUAGUUUAUUUAAUUUCAGGAAUUAAUUUAGGAUUCGAAAACAAUUCCAAAGAAUCCUGAAAUCGUAAUUAAAUCAUGAAAAAUACUCCGAAAACUUCAAAAAAUUUAGGAAAAUUCCUUGAGAUGAUUUGGUAAAUGAGGAACCCAAAUAAAAUACUUGGAGCUCUUGGAAAGGUUUGUAGAACCAUCCAAAGAUGUGAUGAAGGUCUAGG
rnacentral:lncRNA from 1 species